CCUACGGGAGGCAGCAGUGAGGAAUAUUGGUCAAUGGUCGCGAGCCUGAACCAGCCAAGUCGCGUGAAGGAUGACUGCACUGCGGGUUGUAAACUUCUUUUAUCAAGGAAUAAAGUGAGGCACGUGUGCCUUUUUGUGUGUACUUUAUGAAUAAGGAUCGGCUAACUCCGUGCCAGCAGCCGCGGUAAUACGGAGGAUCCGAGCGUUAUCCGGAUUUAUUGGGUUUAAAGGGAGCGUAGAUGGGUUGUUAAGUCAGUUGUCAAAGUGUGCGGCUCACCCGUAACAUUGCCAUUGAUACUGGCAGUCUUGAGUACAGGAGAGGUAGGCGGAAUGCGUGGUGUAGCGGUGAAAUGCUUAGAUAUCGCGAAGAACUCCGAUUGCGAAGGCAGCUUACUAAACUGCCACUGACAUUGAGGCUCGAAAGUGUGGGUAUCAAACAGGAUUAGAUACCCUAGUAGUC
rnacentral:rRNA from 1 species